rnacentral:rRNA from 1 species
UACGUAGGGGGCUAGCGUUGUCCGGAAUCAUUGGGCGUAAAGAGCGUGUAGGCGGCCCGGUAAGUCCGCUGUAAAAGUCAAAGGCUCAACCUUUGAAUGUCAGUGGAUACUGCCGGGCUAGAGUCCGGAGGGGGCGAGUGGAACUCCUGGUGUAGCGGUGGAAUGCGCAGAUAUCAGGAAGAACACCCGUGGCGAAAGCGGCUCUCUGGAACGCAACUGACGCUGAGACACGAAAGCGUGGGGAGCAAACAGG